UGUGAGUGGCUGUCAUCGUGUCGGUUGGAGGGUAGGGGGGAAGCGUGACACGGGAGUACUUGGCGGAAAGUGUGAGAAGGCGGUCUGAGAAGGCAUGUGGUAGAGCCGCGGGCUUAACGUGGGAAGUGCACUUGGGACUGGAAGGCGGGAGGAGGGCAGAGGGGGAUGGAAUUGCGGGUGUAGCAGUGAAAUGCGUAGAUAGGCGGAGGAAGACCUGUGGAGAAGGCAAGCCCCUGGGCAUGUACUGACGCUCAUGCACGAAAGCGUGGGGAGCAAACAGGAUUAGAUACCCGGGUAGUC
rnacentral:rRNA from 1 species